CCUACGGGCGGCAGCAGUGAGGAAUAUUGGUCAAUGGACGAGAGUCUGAACCAGCCAAGUAGCGUGAAGGAUGACUGCCCUAUGGGUUGUAAACUUCUUUUAUAUGGGAAUAAAACGUUCCACGUGUGGGAUUUUGUAUGUACCAUAUGAAUAAGGAUCGGCUAACUCCGUGCCAGCAGCCGCGGUAAUACGGAGGAUCCGAGCGUUAUCCGGAUUUAUUGGGUUUAAAGGGAGCGUAGGUGGAUUGUUAAGUCAGUUGUGAAAGUUUGCGGCUCAACCGUAAAAUUGCAGUUGAAACUGGCAGUCUUGAGUACAGUAGAGGUGGGCGGAAUUCGUGGUGUAGCGGUGAAAUGCUUAGAUAUCACGAAGAACUCCGAGUGCGAAGGCAGUUCACUGGACUGCAACUGACACUGAGGCUCGAAAGUGUGGGUAUCAAACAGGAUUAGAUACCCCAGUAGUC
rnacentral:rRNA from 1 species